GAACCUGCUGCUGGAUCAUU
rnacentral:rRNA from 2 species